CGGGGUGUAGCUCAGAUGGCUAGAGUGCGCGCUUUGGGAGCGCGAGGCCGGCGGUUCAAGUCCGCCCACCCCGAC
rnacentral:tRNA from 1 species